AACGAACGCUGGCGGCAUGCCUAACACAUGCAAGUCGAACGAGACCUUCGGGUCUAGUGGCGCACGGGUGCGUAACGCGUGGGAACCUGCCUUUAGGUUCGGAAUAACUCAGAGAAAUUUGAGCUAAUACCGGAUAAUGUCUUCGGACCAAAGAUUUAUCGCCUUUAGAUGGGCCCGCGUUGGAUUAGCUAGUUGGUGGGGUAAAGGCCUACCAAGGCGACGAUCCAUAGCUGGUCUGAGAGGAUGAUCAGCCACACUGGGACU
rnacentral:rRNA from 1 species